rnacentral:rRNA from 1 species
CAAUAGCGUAUAUUAAAGUUGUUGCAGUUAAAAAGCUCGUAGUUGGAUUUCGGGGCAGCCUGGCUGGUCCGCCGCAAGGCGAGUACUGGUCAGCCGCCCUUCCUCUCGAAAGCCCCGACUGCUCUUCGUUGCAGUGGUCGGGUAGUUCGGGACGUUUACUUUGAAAAAAUUAGAGUGUUCAAGGCAGGCCUACGCCUGAAUACAUUAGCAUGGAAUAACGGAAGAGGACCUCGGUCCUAUUUUGUUGGUUUCCAGGGCCGAAGUAAUGAUUAAGAGGGACAGUUGGGGGCAUUCGUAUUUAAUUGUCAGAGGUGAAAUUCUCGGAUUUAUGAAAGACGAACAACUGCGAAAGCAUUUGCCAAGGAUGUUUUCAUUAA